AUCUUGGAUCCACGUGUCGCCGCGAUGACGUCAGCGGAAGUGGCGCUCCCCUGGUUACAGGCUUCGGCUUCGCGAGGCGGCUGUCUCGCUUUCCUCGCGCGUGUCGUCGUGCUUGUGGAGAGGCAACAGAGACUUGACUUCUGCUCGACACCCUGAUCUCGGCACCGCGGUCUCAGACUCCUGUCCUUCCAUGUUGCUGAUCAUGCAGAGGAAAGCCAGGCAUCCUGUCCAUUCAUUGCUUUCACUGCUGAGGAUAGAACCCAGGGUCUUGCAUUUGAUAGGUCAGCUGAGGUUCAGCUACUCCAGGCUGCUCUGCACUGGGUUCAGUGGCAACCUGCAGCUUGGUCCAGCGCUGCUAUUCCCUAUGUUACUCAUCUUCCUUUGGUCAUGCCCUAGUCAGGCUGAAGGGCGAGCCAAGUUCCUGCACAGCAUUUCAAUCGUCUACUUGCUUCCCACUUACCAAUAUCCCAUUGGCCAAAGCAAGUCUCAUGACCAAGCUCAACAUCAAGUGAAGCAAUGGACCCUUCCCAUGGAUUACUGACAUGAAUAACAGUGUGCCCCAAAUCAGGAGGGCAUAUUUCCAUUGCAAGACUCUGGGCUUUGUUUUCAGAUACCCAUGUAUGUAUCCUCAACCAAAAAAAAAAAAAAAAAAA